rnacentral:rRNA from 1 species
GAUGAACGCUGGCGGCGUGCCUAAUACAUGCAAGUCGAGCGAACAGACGAGGAGCUUGCUCCUCUGACGUUAGCGGCGGACGGGUGAGUAACACGUGGAUAACCUACCUAUAAUACUGGGAUAACUUCGGGAAACCGGAGCUAAUACCGGAUAAUAUAUUGAACCGCAUGGUUCAAUAGUGAAAGACGGUUUUGCUGUCACUUAUAGAUGGAUCCGCGCCGCAUUAGCUAGUUGGUAAGGUAACGGCUUACCAAGGCAACGAUGCGUAGCCGACCUGAGAGGGUGAUCGGCCACACUGGAACUGAGACACGGUCCAGACUCCUACGGGAGGCAGCAGUAGGGAAUCUUCCGCAAUGGGCGAAAGCCUGACGGAGCAACGCCGCGUGAGUGAUGAAGGUCUUCGGAUCGUAAAACUCUGUUAUUAGGGAAGAAAAGAUGUGUAAGUAACUAUGCACGUCUUGACGGUACCUAAUCAGAAAGCCACGGCUAACUACGUG